CCUCCUUUAAACUGGCAGCAUCCACAGGAGAGCAUAAUGAUGUUUCAAGGCAGGCAGAUUCAUCACCUCUUUUGCUGAAGCCAGAUAGCAGCAGCAACACGUGGACAAAAGUCUCUAUCAACACAAUGAUACCAGCGGAAAUCGGAGUGUGUGACACAGUAUUUUCCUCAAUGAGGUGAGCCUAUACAGGAGCAGGCGAUCACAACAUCGGGGGUGGAGUGCUCACGCAUAUAGUAUGUCAAGUGGCUUACAAGUGUCUCUCUCGCUGCAAGGGAGAUCAGCUCUCCAGCUAUUACACAGCUUGGACAGCGAUUACCCCAGGGUAGAUGGUCGCAAGAGGAAGUAAACAUAGUGGAGGCAGGCAGAGGACUGCUAACACCUCUUGAGAUACAACAGAGCAAAAACUUGCAGAUUGAAGCUGUUUGCCGUUUGAGAGACUGAUGGGCAGAAGAACAGCAGGAACUGGCAGAACAUAGGGACAAUCUAGGUUUAAAGACACCUUAACUUUGUGGCAGACAAAUCAAGAGCCAGCUCUCACCCCAUGUCCCUCACAUUCAGAGGAAGCUGGUCCAUGAGGGCACUGCUCACCAAUCUGUGUGCCCUUAGCUGGUCCCCACUUGACUGCCUUCUUUCUUACAACCAGUCAAGGGGUGAGUCUGUCUGUCAUUGGCUGUGACGGUUGGUCUCCUUGCCUACUGAUCUACCUCCUCCUCCUUCAGCGAUCACUCGUAGCCGAGUAAGAUUGUCUUCUAUGAACGCAGUCAUAGCAGUGUGUCCAUAAAUGACUAUGGAGGCCAAUUCUGGAUCCACGCAUCCUUCCACAGGGUGGCCAUAGGUAUCUGAGUGGGAAUUGAUCACAGUUAUGAUUUGCCAAAUGUGCCUUCCCCUUAGCUCAUUUUCCCCAUUCGCCCUGAGAUUGUGCUUCUUCAAAGUCCAUGAUGCCUUUAAAGGUAAAGGGACCCCUGACCAUUAGGUCCAGUCGUGGCCGACUCUGGGGUUGCUGCGCUCAUCUUGCUUUAUUGACCAAGGGAGCUGGCAUACAGCUUCCGGGUCAUGUGGCCAGCAUGACUAAGCCGCUUCUGGUGAACCAGAGCAGCGCACGGAAAUGCCGUUUACCUUCCCACUGGAGCGGUACCUAUUUAUCUACUUGCACUUUGACGUGCUUUUGAACUGCUAGGUUGGCAGGAGCAGGGACCGAGCAACGGGAGCUCAUGCCAUUGCGGGGAUUCGAACCACUGACCUUCUGAUUGGCAAGUCCUAGGCUCUGUGGUUUAACCCACAGUGCCACCCGCAUCCCAAUCAUGCCUUUGGUAGAAACUAUUCUCCAACUUGCGCACGCCCCAGAGGGCACCAGCCACCACAGCUGACAUAUUCCCAGGGUCACAAUUUCUAACCUCAUAAAAGUCAACAAAUACGAUUAGGUGCACUUUGUUUUCUUUAAUAUGCCCAUGGCAACUUGGUUGCAAAGCCACUGGUCAGAGAGAACUUCAUAUCCAGAGAUGAUGAUGGAUUCAAUGUGACCAGUCAGUUCCCUCUCACCUAUAUGCAUAUAUGUAUAUUGUGAAGGUUAAGAAUGGGGCAUCCUGAAACUAGGGCUAAGAAAAGAUAUCCCCCCCCCCCAAAAAAAGUGAUUCCAUUUACAAACAAUGGAUUUAGAUGCAGGGUUUGGGGACUGUUAAUCUGGUGGUUAAAGGUAAAGGGACCCCUGACCGUUAGGUCCAGUCGCGGACGACUCUGGGGUUGCGGCGCUCAUCUCGCUUUACUGGUCAAGGGAGUCGGCGUACAGCUUCUGGGUCAUGUGGCUAGCAUGACUAAGUUGCUUUUGGCAAACCAGAGCAGCACAUGGAAAAGCCAUUUACCUUCCCACUGGAGCGGUACCUAUUUAUCUACUUGCACUGCAUGCUUUCAAACUGCUAAGUUAGCAGGAGCAGGGACUGAGCAAUGGGAGCUCACCCCGUCACAGGGAUUUGAACCGCCGACCUUCUGAUCGGCAAGCCCUAGGCUCUGUGGUUUAACCCAUAGUGCCACCAGCGUGACAAAUAUUCCUCCUCUCUCUGCUUCUUUUAACUGCUCCUGUCAAAGGUCUGCAACCGCUUGUGAUGAUGCCCAAAAGUGUUUAUGCAAAAAUAUAAAUAAAUUAAGAGGCAGGGGGAAUAGUGCUGAUGUUAGCACCAUAUAGUCCUACCCCAAAUCCAUCCCUUCUGGUUUGUGACAGUUGAAAGGGACAACGGUGGCACUGUGGUCUAAACCACUGAGCCUGUUGGCCUUGCCGAUCAGAAGGUUGAAGGUUCAAAUCCUCAUGACGGGCUGAGCUCCCAUUGCUCUGUCCCAGCUCCUGCCAACCUAGCAGUUUGAAAGCAUAUCAGUGCAAGUAGAUAAAUAGGUACUGCUGUGACGGAAAGGUAAACGGUGUUUCCGUGCGCUCUGGUUUCCAUCACAGUGUCUCAUUGUGCCAGAAGCGGUUUAAUCAUGCUGGCCACAUGACCCGGAAAGCUGUCUGUGGAGAAAUGCCAGCUUCCUGGGCCUGAAAGCGAGAUGAGUGCCGCAACCCCGUAGUCACCUUUGACUGGACUUAACCGUCCAGGGGUCCUUUACCCUUCUUUUUUUUACCUUUUAUGACAGUUGCCUCCUGUGUGUCUUGAUUGUUGCACGUGUCUACACAAUAAGUGCAGUACUUUGCGUAAAACACAGGUCAUUCCAGUUCUGUAUGGACGGGCAAUGGUGUGAAAAUAUUAAAUCUGCAAGUGUCCAAUCCGCUUUCAGUAUUGAGCUUUGCACUGCGGAGAUUCAAGGUUAUAGGAAAUGCUAAUAUCUUCUUGGUUGAGUUGCAAGUUGUCAGUAUGCAUGAAGUGUGGGAAACUUUAGGAUAAGCAAUUUCUUUAAUAACAGCAUUAGGCUGUCAUUCAGAGCCGCAGUGGGAAUGCAAAAGUCUUCAGUGAAUUAUUGGGAUGUCAGCAGCACACUGUUUCGAUGGAAAGGAGGGGAACAGGCCACCCAAUUCAAUGCACGCCUCUGUGUUUAAUGUGAAGGGCAUUUUUAGACCUAAUGGGCAACUGAUAAAGUGAUUUGUGUAACGAACUCUGGCAUUAGCAGCAGCACUGCUGUGCCCAUUUCUGUUUCAUCACUGUCAAUGCUGAUGGGAGCAUCGGUGCAACUCGCAUAUGUGAAAAUAUCAGAUUUACUGAACGCCUUCAGAAUUGCUCUAAUUGCCUUCCUUGCACCCCUUAUGAACACAGAUGAGGCAAUUGGUCUUAGGUGUGGAGGGCAGACUGAAAUAGGAAACCUUGUGCUUAGAUUGCAUAUUUUUUAUUUUUGAAAAGUGAGCAGUACAGGCUUUCUAACUACUGUGCACUAAAUUGUUUCUAUUUCCAGGAAGAUGGUUGUAACAGUAAUACAAGAGUCCACACAAUCACUAGGUUGUGUCAUAUGAAUUUCAGAAAUUCCUCUUUUCUUUAUGGAGGAGUAAGUCAGUGUCAUUCAUCUGCCCUCCCACAGAAGAGUGGUUAAACCAACUGAACAUGUGCGAUGGAGUCACAGAAAGUGAGGUAAUUGUGACAUCUUCUUGCUCUUGUUUCUUGCUUGAUUAUAAAUAUGAGUACUUGUUAUCUAUGUGGCUUGAGUGCUUAGUAUGUGUAUCACAGCAGGGGAUAGAGUAAUUUGUAGUAGGUUGGCAAGGAUAUUUGACUUCAAACUGCUUAACAAUAGCAGCAAUCCAAUACCCCCGGAAGCGUAGGUGGGUUCCCACAAGGCAAGACACAGUGAUAACAGUAAGAAACUUUGUGGAACUAACAGAACUGGACAACAGGGGCAAAGCAACUGCUUAUAUACAUUUCUGAAAGCCUGGGCCACUCCCACUCCCAACGUGAUUGGUUGUCUAAAUUUCCAAGCUGCGAAUCACGACUCAGAGUUCAAGGGCCAGUGGCAGAGGCUCAAAUCCUGAAAUGUUCUGUGAUUGGAUAUCAUGUAUCAAAUCAGAACACAGGGGCUCAGAAUCCAUAUUAGUCCAGACACAAGCACAAGCAAACACAGACUACUGAAUACAUACCACCCCCUCCACGUUAAAUUAUAUUGCUGAAAUAAAAAAGGUUUGGUGGUAUGCGGGUGUGGCCUUUUGCAUAGAAGGACAUUGUGUUCCAACAAUUCUGGUACUCAUAACAAACUCCUGGGCUCAUAAUUCUUUUAAUUCUAAGUGCAACCGCUGGCUCCAGUAAGCUCUGGGCUCCUGGGCUUCUAGUAAGAACAAAGUUGACAUUGUAAGUCUAAUGUCUGCCCAUUCCCAUUCUGUAGUAACUCAAAUACCUAUAUAUGCACUUGAACCUUCCAGAACCAUAAGGAGAAGAUUCUUGGACAGCAAACAUGAAGGGAAAUGCUAGACUUAGGUCUAGGUUCCACAAGGCAUCAAAAAGCAAUCCUAAGCAGUAUAGCUGCUGACUAAUCAAUCAAUGUGAAGGAAUAAAUGAAGUCAAGGUAAA
rnacentral:lncRNA from 1 species